CCUACGGGAGGCAGCAGUGAGGAAUAUUGGUCAAUGGGCUUACGCCUGAACCAGCCAAGUCGCGUGAGGGAAGACUGCCCUAUGGGUUGUAAACCUCUUUUGUCAGGGAGCAACGCCGGCUACGUGUAGCCGGACUGAGAGUACCUGAAGAAAAAGCAUCGGCUAACUCCGUGCCAGCAGCCGCGGUAAUACGGAGGAUGCGGGCGUUAUCCGGAUUUAUUGGGUUUAAAGGGUGCGUAGGCGGAAUGCCAAGUCAGCGGUAAAAUCGCGGGGCUCAACCUCGCUCCGCCGUUGAAACUGGCGUUCUUGAGUGGACGAGAAGUAUGCGGAAUGCGUGGUGUAGCGGUGAAAUGCAUGGAUAUCACGCAGAACUCCGAUUGCGAAGGCAGCAUACCGGCGCCCAACUGACGCUGAAGCACGAAAGCGUGGGUAGCGAACAGGAUUAGAUACCCGGGUAGUC
rnacentral:rRNA from 1 species